UACGGAAGGGGCAAGCGUUGUUCGGAAUCAUUGGGCGUAAAGGGCGCGCAGGUGGUUUUGUGUGUCUACCGUGAAAUCGCGCGGCUUAACCGCGUUCCGUCGGUAGAAACUGCAGAACUCGAGGCUGGGAGGGGCUGGUGGAAUUCCCUGUGUAGCGGUGAAAUGCGUAGAGAUGGGGGAGAACACUCGUGGCGAAGGCGGCCAGCUAGACCAGUUCUGACACUGAGGCGCGACAGCGUGGGGAGCAAACAGGAU
rnacentral:rRNA from 1 species